AGCGAACGCUGGCGGCAGGCCUAACACAUGCAAGUCGAGCGCCCCGCAAGGGGAGCGGCAGACGGGAGAGUAACACGUGGGAACGUGCCCUUUGGUUCGGAACAACCCAGGGAAACUUGGGCUAAUACCGGAUAAGCCCUCACGGGGAAAGAUUUAUCGCCGAGGGAUCGGCCCGCGUCUGAUUAGCUAGUUGGUGGGGUCAUGGCCCACCAAGGCGACGAUCAGUAGCUGGUCUGAGAGGAUGAUCAGCCGCACUGGGACUGAGACACGGCCCAGACUCCUACGGGAGGCAGCAGUGGGGAAGAUUGGACAAUGGGCGCAAGCCUGAGCCAGCCAUGCCGCGUGGGUGAUGAAGGCCCUAGGGUUGUAAAGCCCUUUCGGCGGGGAAGAUAAUGACGGUACCCGCAGAAGAAGCCCCGGCUAACUUCGUGCCAGCCGCCGCGGUAAUAC
rnacentral:rRNA from 1 species